AGCAGAAGAGGAGGUGCAGUCGCUGCGGUGUGCCGUGAUCAUACUGGGACGUACCUUGGUUCAUCCGCAGUGGUGUUCAUUGGAGUCAGAGAUCCAACAAUUCUCAAAACUUAUGCUUGCAGGGAAGCCAUGGCUUUGGCGGAUGAUCUCCUAGAAUGGAGAAUAAAAGUGGCUUCGGAUUGCUUGGGAGUGGUGAACGACGUCAACAAGGGCACGGGAGGAGCACAUGCUGCCAUUGUUCAUGAAAUGUCAAAUCAUUGUAAUAGUUUUGAUUUAUGUUCUUUUGUUCAUGAGACUAGAAACCACAAUUUCGAGGCUCAUAACCUCGCCAAAUUUGCAUGUAAUCUGAAUGUAGGUAGGCACGUAUGGCUGGGUAAUCCCCAUGACCCAGCACGUGUGCCUAUGAACAUCCUUGAAUAA
rnacentral:rRNA from 1 species